AUUGUGUUCCUUUCUUACCAAUUACUGCUAACGAAUGCUCUGACUUUAUUGCACUACUGUACUUUACAGCUAGCAGUGCAAUAGUAUUGUCAAAGCAUCUGAGAGCAGGAUGCACACCAGAA
ensembl:miRNA microRNA 301a